GGAUGAGGUUACCUGGAAAAAAUCGGGGCGAUCUAGGCGGGCGAACCUCGCCAACGAACGAUCGGACAUGGGAUAACGGAAGAGGGCGUCGGCUCGACUUCGUCGGUUCCUCGGGCCGAGGCACGUACGGUGAAUAGGGACGGUCGGGGCCGCCCGUACCGGGUCGUGAGAGGUGAAAUUCUAGGAUCGACCCGAGACGAACCGCCGCGAAAGCAUUCGGCAAGGACGCUUUCAUUAAUCAAGAACGAAAGUCGGGGGAUCGAAGACGAUCAGAUACCGUCGUAGUCCCUACCGUAAACGAUGCCGACCGAGGGCCCGGAGGAGUUACGUACGACCCUCCGGGCCCUCCCGCGAGAAAUCAGGAGUAUUCGGGUUCCGGGGGAGUAUGGUCGCAAGGCCGAAACUUAAAGGAAUUGACGGAAGGG
rnacentral:rRNA from 1 species